rnacentral:tRNA from 1 species
GUAAAUAUAGUUUAACAAAAACACUGGAUUGUGAAUCCAGCGACAGAGGCUUAAAUCCUCUUAUUUACC